UGGAGAGUUUGAUCCUGGCUCAGAGUGAACGCUGGCGGCGUGCCUAAUACAUGCAAGUCGAACGGACAAGUAAGAGCUUGCUCUUAUGAGUUAGUGGCGCACGGGUGAGUAAUGUAUAGCUAAUCUGCCCUACACUAGAGGACAACAGUUGGAAACGACUGCUAAUACUCUAUACUCCUGUCUUACAUAAGUUAGAUAGGGAAAGUUUUUCGGUGUAGGAUGAGGCUAUAUUGUAUCAGCUAGUUGGUGAGGUAAUGGCUCACCAAGGCUAUGACGCAUAACUGGUCUGAGAGGAUGAUCAGUCACACUGGAACUGAGACACGGUCCAGACUCCUACGGGAGGCAGCAGUAGGGAAUAUUGCUCAAUGGGGGAAACCCUGAAGCAGCAACGCCGCGUGGAGGAUGACACUUUUCGGAGCGUAAACUCCUUUUGUUAGGGAAGAACAAUGACGGUACCUAACGAAUAAGCACCGGCUAACUCCGUGCCAGCAGCCGCGGUA
rnacentral:rRNA from 1 species